UACAGAGGGUGCGAGCGUUAAUCGGAAUUACUGGGCGUAAAGCGCGCGUAGGCGGCUUUGCAAGUCGGGUGUGAAAUCCCCAGGCUUAACCUGGGAACUGCAUUCGAGACUGCAUUGCUAGAGUAUGGGAGAGGGAAGUGGAAUUUCCGGUGUAGCGGUGAAAUGCGUAGAUAUCAGGAGGAAUACCGGUGGCGAAGGCGGCCUUCUGGACGGUGACUGACGCUGAGACGCGAAAGCGUGGGGAGCAAACAGG
rnacentral:rRNA from 1 species